AGCCUUUCAAAUGUUUAUAAAAUUAGUUUUUCGGUAGUGGCAAAAGAGGAUUAUUGGCCAGAAUAUCAAGGGACAUCAUUUGGCACAACAAAGUUAUGCGAAGGAAGAAAAAGGGUCGCCCUAACAUCACCCGGAUUCGAACCGAAAUGGAUACGGCGAACAAAAUGGUUAGACUAUGUAGUUCAUGCCGUCAACCAGGUCAGAAUCGUAAUAACUGUCCUAGUGUUGGAACGAGCACAACCAGAAAAAUUCAGAUGUACCUUUGUUGCUAUAUAUGAAAAACUAAAUUUAUUUCAAAGUACCUUUGUUGCAAUAUAUGGAAAACAAAAUUUACUUCAUAGUAGACGUCUGUGACGAAAAGACAGUUGUUCAUAAAAAAUAACACAGACAAUUAAAACAACUAGAAUACAAAAACUAUGCGAUUACAACCAUCAAAACAAUUUUGAACAUGUAAUGCAUCAUCCUACGAUCGUCUUGGUCGGCCUUAAUAUCCACCCAUUCGCGCACUUCUCCGUGUUGGUUGAACGUGGACACAAGCAAUUGUAUUCUUU
rnacentral:lncRNA from 1 species